CAUGCGCCGCCGCAGUCAUUAAUGUCGCUGAUCUGUUGUGGCUGCAGAAUGGGCUGUGCUGUUUUAUUCUUCUUCUUUUAAAUCUUAAAAGGUGUCACUGUACCUGCAAAGAAGCUUAAUCAUGAACCAAGACACACAUGCCGUCCACUGCUGCUGUUUAAAGAAAACCAAGAAAAAGACUAAUGCCUAGGAUUAAUAAGACUGUCAUUUUGGCCCUCCUCACUGUUACAAGCUCUCUGUUUCUCUUGUUUCAACUGUAUUAUUACAAGCUAUAUUUGUCUAAGGAUGGAACACGUAGUUUCAUUGAUAAAGGUAGCGCGUCAUCAAGCAGUGCCCAGUGGAAUGUUGUCAAGAAAUUCCUGGACUUGGUGGCCAGACAUCAUUUACCCGUAUACCUGAUUGAUCCUGUAAUCCUGAAGUUGUUGACGUCUGAUUCUCUGCUGCUAAAGGAAAGCGACCAAAAAGGACAAAGCUGCAAGUUGCUAUGUACAGAAAGGAAAUUCAUCACAUUUGCACUGCUUGCUAAACUUUGGAAAUAUGAUAGUGCCCUGGCUCACUCAGCUGGAGAAUACGGGUUUGAGCUGCUUGAACUCCGAGGAAAAGAUCCUCGUCUUGCUGGCAUGGAUGACUUAUCUGGAAUGGAGAUUCCUCUGCACUUUUUGUUCAGGCUACAGUCUUUCGCCGUCCACCUAGUAGUGUUUUAUGAAAGAAGUGGCAAUUAUCUUUGGCAUGGGCCCCUACGACUAAAAUCAGACAUGGACAAAAAGUUUGUUCCUUUCCGAAAACUAGACUUUGGUCGCUAUGCAGGAGCAUAUGAUAGGCCAGAACUACUGCUGACUUCUCUUGAUGGACUGCAGGUCCGCAUUCCGAAGAAUAUUUCGCGCUUCUUGGAUGAAGUGACUGGCGCAAGGUUUCUAGAAUGCCGAUAUAAGGAAGCUCGGGUUUUUUAUCAGCAAUACCCUUAUGACACCUCCCAAGAUGCAGUGGAGUUUAGGAAGAAAGCCAAGGCCUUACUUCUCUUAGCUGCGGAGACUCUGAACAGCCUGGGGGUGAGAUUCUGGCUUAGUAGCGGGACAUGUCUUGGCUGGUUUAGACAGUGCAAUAUUAUUCCAUACAGUAAGGAUGUUGACCUAGGAGUAUGGAUAAAGGACUACAGAUCGGACAUUAUUGCAGCAUUUGAAAAGGCGGGCCUGCCAAUUAAACAUAGGUUUGGAAAGGUAGAGGACAGCCUAGAGUUGUCCUUCCAAGGUACUGAUGUGAAACUCGAUAUCUUCUUCUUCUAUGAGGAAGACAGCUAUGUGUGGAAUGGAGGAACACAAGCUAAAACUGGAAAAAAAUUCAAGUACAUUUUCCCCAAGUUUUCCUUGUGCUGGACUGAGCUAGCAGAGUUAAAAGUUCGGGUUCCUUGUGAAACACUGAAAUAUAUUGAAGCAAAUUAUGGAAAGAACUGGUAUAUUCCACUGAAAAUAUGGGACUGGAAGAGCUCUCCUGCCAAUGUCCAAGAAAACGGAAUCUGGCCAUUGAGGGAGUGGGACGAAGUCAUUCAAGUUUACUGAUCAAGAAUACGCUCCAUUGGAUGGUUGUACUUUGACUUUUAAUUAUUUUUUAAAUCUUAUAGGUCAGGGUUGUGGCGGUAACAAAGCAAGCUGGACUGCCGAAGUCACUCUGUCCUUAGCAGCUUCCUUCAGCUCCUUUUAUAGGUGAAGUCCUGUAUGAAACUUAAGACAUCCAAUCCCACCAGGGUGUUCUGGGUCUUCUCCCAGGUGGUCAUGCAUAGUACAUCCCUUUUGUAGAAGGCAACCAAUAUACAUUCUGACAACUUGGCCGCACAACCUCUGCCGGCUCAGUUCUGUUUGGAGAAGCUACAGUGCAAUUGUCCUGCUGCAUUGCUGAGCCUGGCAACCCUGCGCUUGAACUUGCCUUUCAUUUUUUCAGUAACUUGUACCCAAAUCUUGUCGCCAAAGUGGAUGUGAUGGCGAUUUUAGACUGGCUGGUAAGACUGGUAAGUGUAAAGCCACUGCACAGAUUUGAUGGCCAAUCAUUUUUAACCUGUCAAGUGAACAAAAUCCUGAGGUACUUAACCCCUUCUUCUGGAUUCUGCUGCUCCAGCCCACCUUCUCUACAGAUUCCAAACCCGUCUUUUCUGAGAGAGGACUAUGACCCCAUAUUUGGAGGUGCUAAUGCUCAUCACACUCCGCUGUGUCCUCUUCCAUUGUGCACCAGAGUCUGUCGAGGACAAGAGAACAAUGUUAUCUGCAAAUGGCCGAAAGGCAAACCUUAGGACCCCCAGAUCAGAUACUCUGCAAGACUGAAACUGCACCUUGAUGUCCUGUCCAUGAAUAUAACAAGAUGAACACUUGGCAGAGUCCAGUGACCCAUGGUGAAGAAACUCGAGCACUUAACGCUCAGUUUGCAAACACGGCUGUCAUUCUCAAAGUUAUUUAUGUUUUAGUCUUGUUUUUUUUCCAUCUUGGAGUGUGGAUACUCUUUGUAUUUCGAGCAAAACAAAGUCUAAAAUGUUCUCACUGCUCUUGACAGUUUCUACAAAAAUGAGUAGUAAACGAAGAACGUUUAAUAGACUUUAAUGUUAUGAGCGUCAGGGCUAAGUUAAUUAUAGUUGAGUGAAAUGUACAGUGGAAAUGUGCUGAAUUAGACUGCACACUUUAGGAGUUCAUAGUUAAAUUAUCUUUGAAAAUGCCAUGUGGUGUCUUGUGCUGCUCACGUGUUCACUUUAUACAGCAGAUACUAAUGAGAAUUUAUCAGAAGGCAAGAUUUGGCCUACUAUCAAGUAGCGGUUCCCCAGAAGAACGUGUCCUGACAUGGCUUCAAAGGUAUUAUUCUUGCAAAACUCUUUCUCAAUAGUACUUGACAACAUUUUUUUUUUCCUGAAAACUUUUUGGUGAUUAUGACACAAAUUUAAUUUCAUACUGACCGUAUCAUGUAGGAAUUUGGAGAAACAUGAAAUUAACUUGUAUCGAGUUUAAUGUGUUUAGUCAUUUAAUGAUACUGACUCAUUGUGUUAGAUCAAUUUGCUUCCGAUUUUCGUUUGUACUCUGUAUCUGAUGCUUCUUGUGUCAUUGUCCAGCAAUAAUGGAUUCUUCUUGCCCUGAUGGCGCUCCAUCAUUGUAAUGUCCUGCUGAAAUGUUUCGUAUUGUUCAGCAAUGAUCGCACCAACAUUAGCAGGGAUAAAACCCAAAUGUGAAUGCAGGCGAUGAAUCUUUGACAUGGGUCCAGCAGUAGACCGCUAUUCAGUAGCUCUGCUAGAUAGCCAGUUGAAUUGCAGGUCUUUGUCACCUGGUUUACUCGACUGUCAGAUAGAUACAGUGGUGUGAAAAACUAUUUGCCCCCUUCCUGAUUUCUUAUUCUUUUGCAUGUUUGCCACACAAAA